rnacentral:rRNA from 1 species
GACGAACGCUGGCGGCGUGCCUAAUACAUGCAAGUCGAACGAGCUCUUCGGAGCUAGUGGCGAACGGGUGAGUAACACGUAGGCAACCUACCCAUAAGACGGGGAUAACUAUUGGAAACGAUAGCUAAUACCGGAUAGGACAUAAAACCGCAUGGUUUAAUGUUUAAAGAUGCGUAUGCAUCACUUAUGGAUGGGCCUGCGGCGCAUUAGCUAGUUGGUGGGGUAACGGCCCACCAAGGCGACGAUGCGUAGCCGACCUGAGAGGGUGAACGGCCACACUGGGACUGAGACACGGCCCAGACUCCUACGGGAGGCAGCAGUAGGGAAUCUUCCACAAUGGACGAAAGUCUGAUGGAGCAACGCCGCGUGAGUGAGGAAGGCCUUCGGGUUGUAAAGCUCUGUUAUUAGGGAAGAACAGCAUAAGUAGGAAAUGACUUAUGUGUGACGGUACCUAAUGAGAAAGCCACGGCUAACUACGUGCCAGCCGCCGCCGUAACAC